rnacentral:rRNA from 1 species
CCUACGGGAGGCAGCAGUGAGGAAUAUUGGUCAAUGGGCGCGAGCCUGAACCAGCCAAGUAGCGUGAAGGAUGACUGCCCUACGGGUUGUAAACUUCUUUUAUAAAGGAAUAAAGUGAGGCACGUGUGCCUUUUUGUAUGUACUUUAUGAAUAAGGAUCGGCUAACUCCGUGCCAGCAGCCGCGGUAAUACGGAGGGUGCGAGCGUUAAUCGGAUUUAUUGGGUGUAAAGGGCGCGUAGGUGGGUUGUGAAGUCAGAUGUGAAAUGUUGUGGCUCAACCGUAGAACUGCAUUUGAGACUGGCAGUCUUGAGUGCAGGAGAGGCAGGCGGAAUUCGUGGUGUAGCGGUGAAAUGCGUAGAUAUCAGGAGGAACACCGAUGGCGAAGGCGGCUUACUAGACUGUAACUGACGUUGAGGCGCGAAAGCGUGGGGAGCAAACAGGAUUAGAUACCCCUGUAGUC